GGGAAUAUUGCACAAUGGGCGAAAGCCUGAUGCAGCAAUGCCGCGUGAGUGAUGAAGGCCUUCGGGUCGUAAAGCUCUUUUGUCUGGGAUGAUAAUGACAGUACCUGAAAAACAAGCCACGGCUAACUACGUGCCAGCAGCCGCGGUAAUACGUA
rnacentral:rRNA from 1 species